CAGCCCGUAGCGCAGUGGUCGUCGCGCCUCUUUCGCAUAGAGGAGGACGCCGGUUCGAAUCCGGCUGGAUCUG
rnacentral:tRNA from 1 species